UUACAUUUCAUCUAGUCUCGCAUUGCUAGACCUUUCUUCACAGCGCUGCGAGGAAGGGUCUGGCAAGUCCACACAGAAUUCCAAGAUGGGAGAAAAAUAUGCUCUGGUUUAUUAGGAUUACUUCAAAACAAUCACAAUCGUCAUGGGCAGCACUAAGCGUGGCACGGAGCAACGGCGCCUCUGCAAAAUAGCCUUGAAAGGAACUUAUUUGGGUGAAC